rnacentral:rRNA from 1 species
UACGUAGGGGGCUAGCGUUGUCCGGAAUCAUUGGGCGUAAAGAGCGUGUAGGCGGUCCGGUAAGUCCGCUGUGAAAGUCGGGGGCUCAACCCUCGAAUGCCGGUGGAUACUGUCGGGCUAGAGUGCGGAAGAGGCGAGUGGAAUUCCUGGUGUAGCGGUGAAAUGCGCAGAUAUCAGGAGGAACACCUAUGGCGAAGGCAGCUCGCUGGGACGUAACUGACGCUGAGACGCGAAAGCGUGGGGAGCAAACAGG